rnacentral:precursor_RNA from 14 species
CUGAAGGCCAGGAUGGGGAGUUUGUUUCUAUCUUUGGUUAUCUAGCUGUAUGAGUGUAAAUAAGCCGUCAUAAAGCUAGAUAACCGAAAGUAGGAAUCACUUCCAAGGCGUCACCUUAGCC